rnacentral:rRNA from 1 species
GACAGAGGGGGCAAGCGUUGCUCGGAAUUACUGGGCGUAAAGGGUGCGCAGGCGGCCGUGUGUGUCAGGUGUGAAAGCCCGGAGCUUAACUCCGGAAUUGCGCCUGAAACUACAUGGCUAGAGCAUUGGAGAGGGUAGCGGAAUUCACGGUGUAGCAGUGAAAUGCGUAGAUAUCGUGAGGAACACCAGAGGCGAAGGCGGCUACCUGGACAAUUGCUGACGCUCAGGCACGAAAGCGUGGGGAGCAAAAGGG